AUUGAACGCUGGCGGCAGGCCUAACACAUGCAAGUCGAACGAGUGGCGGACGGGUGAGUAAUGUCUGGGAAACUGCCUGAUGGAGGGGGAUACCUACUGGAAACGGUAGCUAAUACCGCAUACCAUCAGAUGUGCCCAGAUGGGAUUAGCUUGUUGGUGGGGUAACGGCUCACCAAGGCGACGAUCCCUAGCUGGUCUGAGAGGAUGACCAGGCAAACUGGAACUGAGACACGGUCCCGACACCCACGGUAGGGAGGAGUGGGGAAUAUUGCACAAUGGGCGCAAGCCGGAUGGAGCCAUGCCGCGUGUAUGAAGAAGGCCUUCGGGGUGUAAAGUACUUUCAACGGGGAAGCGUUACCCGCAGAAGAAGCACCGGCUAACUCCGUGCCAGCAGCCGCGGUAAUUC
rnacentral:rRNA from 1 species